rnacentral:rRNA from 1 species
UACGAAGGGGGCUAGCGUUGCUCGGAAUCACUGGGCGUAAAGGGUGCGUAGGCGGGUCUUUAAGUCAGAGGUGAAAUCCUGGAGCUCAACUCCAGAACUGCCUUUGAUACUGAGGAUCUUGAGUACGGGAGAGGUGAGUGGAACUGCGAGUGUAGAGGUGAAAUUCGUAGAUAUUCGCAAGAACACCAGUGGCGAAGGCGGCUCACUGGCCCGGUACUGACGCUGAGGCACGAAAGCGUGGGGAGCAAACAGGG